rnacentral:rRNA from 1 species
UACGGGGGGAGCAAGCGUUGUUCGGAUUUACUGGGCGUAAAGGGCGCGUAGGCGGCCACCGCAAGUCGACUGUGAAAUCUCCGGGCUUAACCCGGAAAGGUCAGCCGAUACUGCGGGGCUAGGGUGCAGAAGGGGCAACUGGAAUUCUCGGUGUAGCGGUGAAAUGCGUAGAUAUCGAGAGGAACACCUGCGGUGAAGGCGGGUUGCUGGGCUGACACUGACGCUGAGGCGCGAAAGCUAGGGGAGCGAACGGG